AUGUCUGGUCGUACAAAGAAGCAGGAGGCGAUGGGUUUCUUCAAACCCUAAAAUCCUUACUAAAACUCUCAAAUUGGAGGUGCAAAUCUGGUCCAAAACGAAAAUUCGAGCAUAGAUUACUGAUCCCCAUUGCAAGGGGGUUGUAAGGACACUCGCAUCUGAAGAUAGCGAGAGUUUAACAAAUUGCGGAUAUGGUGAUGGAACGGUCCGAGAUGUGACAAGAAGAGCAUACUAAUCAAGGACCUAAAUCGCGUAACGAUCGCAAAUAAGUAAUGGCAAGGAAUGUCCGUUGGGGCAAGCAUUACCAGGUGCACAUUUUAAACUUAUAGUACAAACAGUAAUAUGCAACACAUACAUAGUGAAUGACAGUUGCAUAUAGAAUAUGAAACUUGGAAAACCUGGAUAGGUUACCUAUCCAGGAUGACGUUUCCAAGAGAAAUUCAGUAGAGAAUAUGUAUCACAAAUUGUGAAUAACAAGACAAUAACAGAAUUCAGUUUAUAUAGAAACUUGGACGAGAGUGAUCAUCCAAGUAAGUAUUCUCAAUAUAAAUCUUAUUGAGAAAAGUAAUGAUCACAUCAACGAAUGUGAAUAAAUGUUUAUAAAAAGGGACAUUUUAAAUGUUCAAGGAUAAACGACUAAAACUAAUAAUUGUUAACUAACAAUUAAAUAAAGUUUUACCAAAUGAAAUCAUAAAUAUGGAGAUAAUUUGAGGAGUUACUUACAUGGGACGUGAUGUGGUAAUUAUAAUAAGGUCACGCGUACCAUGUGUUGAUCGCUUACUCUGGCCAAGUAAGUAGUGAACACAUGAUAGCAUGAGCUUCUUAUAAUGAGCGCAGUUAUGUCCGAUGUAGUAAGGUCAAGAUGAAUGAAAAUUUAAAGGAUCCUUAGGGUUAAGAAAUCUUAUGGGCAUACUCGUAUAAAUGGUUUUCGCGGGAACCAUAAAAACGAUGUAUGGCGCACAUAGAAACAAAAGACCCAAGGAAAUUCGUGACAUAAGUCAUUUUGGACGAAACAACCAUGGUAGACAAAAAGGGCAUUGUAAAACCAAAGUAUAAAUGACCCGCUGGGUCAUAGAAACAAAGGUAUUGCCCACAUGAGAAAACGAUCAAAGUCGUUGACUUUGGUUGUAGUAAAGAAAUAAUGAUGAUGAUAAUCAUCAUUCAUAGUUUAUAAGACUGUCAAGGAUGGUCAAAUAAAGAAUAAAGGUUUGGUUGAAUAAAAGCGAUGGAUUUCGCUAAGACAACCAAACAAAUUAAAACGAAAUCUUAAUGUAUACCGGAAUGCUUGCACUAAUAAUGACUUCGGUAAAGUACCCGGUUGAUGGGUAAGGAUUUAAACACAUGCGUAAACCGAGAAACGGGAACACGAAUUUAAAGUCAAAAGACUCGGAUUACGAGUUAUGACUAUAAAAUCUCGUAUAUAGAAAUUGUGAGUAAAUAUGUUCAACUAUUCGAAGUCGAAUGGGUUGAAUAAAGAAUAAAGUUGAUUGUUUAUAAGUGAUGGAUUUCACAUUAAUAAGUCAAACAUGUUGAAUACAAUAUAACGCCGAAUGGCACAAGUGAGCGCUAGCCAGAAAAAGGUAGCGUUAAAUGCAAGAGAAUAAUGAGCCCGGUAAUGGGAUAUAACCAAAUAAGAAUAUAUGCAAAUCAAAUAACAGUAAGCAUAAGAAGAACUGACGCAUAAAUGACGUGAGAAGUCAUAAAAUCGGAAAAUCGUCCGAAAGAAAACAAUUAUAGCCAUGAAACUACAAUUAAGGUUAACGGGACCUAAGCUUGAAACCAAAUAAUUCUUCGAACAAAAACAGGGUGCCUUGACACCAAACAUGUGUUUUAAGAAUGACAUGAGUAAGGAGUGAUCUACGGGAUCAACACCUUUAGGGUUAUAAACAAAUGAAAGAUCUACGGGACUAAAACGACGCAUGGGUCAUGAUUAGAAAGAAGUUAUAAGGACUUCGCCCUAAAGAGGUGAAAGUCUAAUCAAAAUAGCCCAUAAGGCUAAGUGAUAAAAACCUACGGGUUAAUUAGAUAAAGCGAGGGAAUCGGUUGAGAAUCCCCGCAUAAAACUAAGACUGUAAAAGAAUAAAUUAUGGACUGUCAAUAUCCUGGUAUGGAUAAUUGACAAAAGUUAAAGAGAAGAUCCUAAAACUAAAACUUCGGUUUUAGUAAGAAAUAGCGUUUUUACAAACAUAAAUUCUGAUAGGAAUUUAAAUAGUAAGCAUGAAAGAUACAAGUCUUGACACUGAUAGGCGCAAGACGAUAUAUUCGAAAAGUGAUAUUUUCAAAAAUGAAAGGUUGAUACAAACUAAACACGAUGUGACACGAUCACGGUUAGGAAAUGUAAUGUGAAGUAAAAUCACGUUAUAACCAAGCGAGCAGUGAGAAGUAACGGGACUAAUAAGUCUAGUUAGUAAGACCGGUUAAGGCCAGUAAUUCAAAUCAAUAAAAAAAAUUGGUUUGCUUGUAAGCGGUGGAUUCGGUAUAACUGAACCGAAUAAAUAAAUCUGAAAACAAAAGAAAUUAUUGCUAAAAGUGAAAUAUUUCACUAAAGACCUUUAAACGGGUCAAGGUAACGGAUUCACCAAGAGUUCGAUAAUAUAUAAAAGCGAUGGAAAUCGCUAAGUUAACUAAACUAGUAGAAAUAACGGAAUUACGUUAUUUCAAAUUACAUUAUGUCGUAUGAGGUACGUAGAGGUUCUGUAACCAAAAAGAUAUUACCAAAAUUUUUCUGGUAAUACUAACAAUUGGUUAAAAUAUGAAUAAUGCUUAAGAGAUUACUCAGGUCAAACGCAUUGAGUUUAGAACUCAAUGAACUAUGUAAGCAAGGUUUCGAGGACGAAACCUCUUUAAGGGGGGUAGACUUGUAACACCCCGAAAACGGGCUUGGUAAUUAAACUCUGUUAAUACUAAAAGACGGGUAACGUACCGUUAUUAGUAAAAAUAACCCGGCAAAUAUUUGGAUUUAAAUAAGAAAUCCUAAUAUUAAAUAAAAACGAAUCAAAGUUUUAAGUAAUUAAGUUUAUAAAAGGCCCGAUUUAACGGGACUUAAAGUAAAACGGGUUACGACUUCCCGAACCUACUAAGCUAACUAGGAAUAAUUCUAACCUAGUUAGAUAGUGACUUAUGAGUGGGUUAAAACACUUAAAUUAUGAACUAAGGAAAAUGAAGGGGCCAAAGAUGUUAAAAUCGAAACUUAUGUUGCUAAUUUAAUUAAAACAAAAACCAAACACCCCAUUUGGGGAUGUCUGGUCGUACAAAGAAGCAGGAGGCGAUGGGUUUCUUCAAACCCUAAAAUCCUUACUAAUACUCUCAAAUUGGAGGUGCAAAUCUGGUCCAAAACGAAAAUUCGAGCAUAGAUUACUGAUCCCCAUUGCAAGGGGGUUGUAAGUUUGACUCUUGACAAGCUAGAUGGAGGCUUGGAAUGAAGCGGGUCAAACGGAGCAGGUACGAAAAGGAAAGCGUAAUUUGGAUGCGAGGUAAGUAAAGCUUACGCCCUCUUUUGUAAGUUAUGUGUUUAUUCAUAGGUUGUAAAUACGACAAAAGCUAUAUUUGGAAUAUGGUUCCGACACGAAAUGUAACGGGUCGGGACAUAUAAAAUAAUGAUAAACCAUGUUUAAUGGUAAAAUGGGGGAAAUGGUAAUUGGUCACGAGAUGACAUAUAUAUAAAAUGAGUUUUUGAAUUACUACUUAUUAAGGUAAGCCUAAACGAAUAAAAAGAGUAAAACGACGAAUUAGUCAUGUGUAGACGAAAAAGAGUUGAAGUUUAAAACAACACCAUUUAAUAUUAAGCACAAAAUAUUUGGUAGUCUAGACCAAACGGGUCAAAUGGUAAUAUUUAUACCAUUUGACAAUUAACGACUAAUAAGUGUAUGUCGAGUCUCAUGCUCGCAGGGUAAUUGGUUUAUGAAUUAGCGAGGCUAUGAAUUAGCAUAUUAUAGAGACAAGGUCUUAAAACGGGUCAAUAUGUUGACCCGAGCCAGUCUUAGGUGCUCAAGGAUUAUGGGUGACGAUCAAGCAACCUUUGAAGGACCGAACACAUACUCUUGAAGCUUCCGCAUAAAUCAACUCGGUUUAAACAAUGUUUAUGAUGUAAACUGUUUGCUAAACAACUUUUGAAAUGUUUAAACGACGUACUCAAUUAUGUUAUGUUGUAUUAUUUUAAAAUUGUAAAGUUCAAACAAACCCGUAUUUUUACAAAGUAUAUGUAGUCAUAAUUACAUGUUGUUUGUCGUAUACUUUACAAAAAACCAUUAAAUAAUGACAAGGGUGUUACAGUAAUAUCAAACUUAUCUCACCAUAGUUAUAUAAUAAAAAAGAGAGAAAAGAAAUAUAUCAAUUAUAUAUAUUAU
rnacentral:lncRNA from 1 species